rnacentral:tRNA from 1 species
GGACUGUGGCUCAGCAGUAGAGCGCUCGCCUAGUACGUGCGAGGUCCUGGGUUCGAUCCUCAACACCA